ACCUUCCUACUUUACUUCUGGGACUUAGCAGAGAGGUUGGUGCUUCGGAACUUAGAGACAGGUGUGCAUGGCUGUCGUCAGCUCGUGUUGUGAGAUGUUGGGUAAGUCCCGCAACGAGCGCAACCUUAUCCUUAGGUGCCAGCGGUUCGGGUGGGCACUCAAGGAAGACUGCCCAGGGCUAACCGGAGGAAGGUGGGGAUGACGUCAAGUCAUCAUGGCCCUUACGAGUAGGGCUACACACGUGCUACAAUGGCAUAUACAAAGAGAAGCGACCUCGCGAGAGCAAGCUGACCUCUUAAAGUAUGUCGUAGUCCGGAUUGGAGUCUGCAACUCGACUCCAUGAAGUCGGAAUCGCUAGUAAUCGUGGAUCAGAAUGUCACGGUGAAUACGUUCCCGGGCCUUGUCCACCCCGCCCGUCACACCAGGGGAGUGGGUUGCACAGGAAAGGAAGGAAGCUUAACGCUC
rnacentral:rRNA from 1 species